rnacentral:rRNA from 1 species
ACGAACGCUGGCGGCCUGCCUCACCCAUGCCAGUCGCACGCGACCUUCGGGUCUAGUGGCGCACGGGUGCGUAACGCGUGGGAACCUGCCCUUAGGUUCGGAAUAACUCCCCGAAAGGGGUGCUAAUACCGGAUAAUGUCUUCGGACCAAAGAUUUAUCGCCUUUGGAUGGGCCCGCGUUGGAUUAGCUAGUUGGUAGGGUAAAAGCCUACCAAGGCGACGAUCCAUAGCUGGUCUGAGAGGAUGAUCAGCCACACUGGGACUGAGACACGGCCCAGACUCCUACGGGAGGCAGCAGUGGGGAAUAUUGGACAAUGGGCGAAAGCCUGAUCCAGCAAUGCCGCGUGAGUGAUGAAGGCCUUAGGGUUGUAAAGCUCUUUUACCCGGGAUGAUAAUGACAGUACCGGGAGAAUAAGCUCCGGCUAACUCCGUG